rfam:Picoides pubescens contig127707, whole genome shotgun sequence.
GUUGGAAGCAGCCUCCCAUGAUGAUCCUUCUCUGUCUGAUGGCUGUGGUGGUGAUGAACCUCAAACCAAAGCCUCUAAGAAGUUGACUGAAGAGGCUGCUCCUCU